AGAUAUCCGAAUCAAUAGAUGAAGGUCCCUUGAAGACUACGAGGUAGAUAGGUCCGGGGUGUAAGCACAGCAAUGUGUUCAGCUGACGGAUACUAAUAGACCGGAAGCUUAACCAC
rnacentral:rRNA from 1 species